rnacentral:rRNA from 1 species
AGUGAACGCUGGCGGUAGGCCUAACACAUGCAAGUCGAACGGCAGCACAGUAAGAGCUUGCUCUUACGGGUGGCGAGUGGCGGACGGGUGAGGAAUACAUCGGAAUCUACUUUUUCGUGGGGGAUAACGUAGGGAAACUUACGCUAAUACCGCAUACGACCUACGGGUGAAAGCAGGGGAUCUUCGGACCUUGCGCGUUUGUAUGAGCCGAUGUCGGAUUAGCUAGUUGGCGGGGUAAAGGCCCACCAAGGCGACGAUCCGUAGCUGGUCUGAGAGGAUGAUCAGCAACACUGGAACUGAGACACGGACCAGACUCCUACGGGAGGCAGCAGUGGGGAAUAUUGGACAAUGGGCGCAAGCAUGAUCCAGCAAUACCGCGUGGGUGAAGAAGGCCUUCGGGUUGUAAAGCCCUUUUGUUGGGAAAGAAAAGCAGCAGGUUAAUACCCCGCUGUUAUGACGGUACCCAAAGAAUAAGCACCGGCUAACUUCGUG